rnacentral:rRNA from 1 species
GGUUGCGAUCAUACCAGCACUAAUGCACCGGAUUCCAUCAGAACUCCGCAGUUAAGCGUGCUUGGGCGAUAGUAGUACUAGGAUGGGUGACCCCCUGGGAAGUCCUCGUGUUGCAACCCC